rnacentral:rRNA from 1 species
UGCGUAGGCGGGCUAAUAAGUCAGUGGUGAAAUCUCUCGGCUCAACCGGGAAACUGCCAUUGAUACUGUUAGUCUUGAGUUCGGCUGAGGUAGGCGGAAUGUGUAAUGUAGCGGUGAAAUGCUUAGAUAUUACACAGAACACCAAUUGCGUAGGCAGCUUACUAGACCGACACUGACGCUGAGGCACGAAAGCGUGGGGAGCGAACA